AUACGACCGUACCGCAAACCGACACUGUUGCGCGAGAUGAGUAUUCUAUGCGCUUGAGAGAACUCAGGAGAAGGAACUCGGCAAAUUGACACCGUAACUUCGGAAGAAGGUGUGCCCUAUUAGUGUGUAGUGAACAACGAAGCAUGAAUGGGUUGCAAAAAAUCGGUGGCUGCGACUGUUUAUUAAAAACACAGCACUCUGCAAACACGAAAGUGGACGUAUAGGGUGUGACGCCUGCCCGGUGCUGGAAGAUUAAAUGAUGGGGUGCAAGCUCUUGAUUGAAGUCCCAGUAAACGGCGGCCGUAACGAUAACGGUCCUAAGGUAGCGAAAUUCCUUGUCGGGUAAGUUCCGACCUGCACGAAUGGCGUAACGAUGGCCACACUGUCUCCUCCUGAGACUCAGCGAAGUUGAAAUGUUUGUGAUGAUGCAAUCUCCCCGCGGAAAGACGGAAAGACCCCAUGAACCUUUACUGUAGCUUUGUAUUGGACUUUGAACAGAUCUGUUAGGAUAGGUGGGAGGCUUUGAAGCAGGGUCGCUAGAUCUUGUGGAGCCAACGUUGAAAUACCACCCUGGUGUGUUUGAGGUUCUAACCUAGGUCCAUUAUCUGGAUCGGGGACAGUGCAUGGUAGGCAGUUUGACUGGGGCGGUCUCCUCCCAAAGCGUAACGGAGGAGUUCGAAGGUACGCUAGUUACGGUCGGACAUCGUGACGAUAGUGCAAUGGCAUAAGCGUGCUUAACUGCGAGACUGACAAGUCGAGCAGAUGCGAAAGCAGGACAUAGUGAUCCGGUGGUUCUGUAUGGAAGGGCCAUCGCUCAACGGAUAAAAGGUACUCUGGGGAUAACAGGCUGAUACCGCCCAAGAGUUCAUAUCGACGGCGGUGUUUGCACCUCGAUGUCGGCUCAUCUCAUCCUGGGGCUGUAGCCGGUCCCAAGGGUAUGGCUGUUCGCCAUUUAAAGAGGUACGUGAGCUGGGUUUAAAACGUCGUGAGACAGUUUGGUCCCUAUCUUCCGUGGGCGCUGCAGAUUUGAGGAAGCCUGCUCCUAGUACGAGAGGACCGGAGUGGACACACCUCUGGUGUAUCGGUUGUCACGCCAGUGGCAUUGCCGAGUAGCUAAGUGUGGAUGAGAUAACCGCUGAAAGCAUCUAAGCGGGAAACUCGUUUCAAGAUGAGAUCUGCCGGGGCCUUGAGCCCCCUAAAGAGUCGUUCAAGACCAGGACGUUGAUAGGUCAGGUGUGGAAGCG
rnacentral:rRNA from 1 species